GACGAACGCUGGCGGCGUGCUUAACACAUGCAAGUCGAACGGAAAGGCCCUGCUUUUGUGGGGUGCUCGAGUGGCGAACGGGUGAGUAACACGUGAGUAACCUGCCCUUGACUUUGGGAUAACUUCAGGAAACUGGGGCUAAUACCGGAUAGGAGCUCCUGCUGAAUGGUGGGGGUUGGAAAGUUUCGGCGGUUGGGGAUGGACUCGCGGCUUAUCAGCUUGUUGGUGGGGUAGUGGCUUACCAAGGCUUUGACGGGUAGCCGGCCUGAGAGGGUGACCGGCCACAUUGGGACUGAGAUACGGCCCAGACUCCUACGGGAGGCAGCAGUGGGGAAUAUUGCACAAUGGGCGGAAGCCUGAUGCAGCAACGCCGCGUGCGGGAUGACGGCCUUCGGGUUGUAAACCACUUUCGCCUGUGACGAAGCGUGAGUGACGGUAAUGGAUAAAGAAGCACCGGCUAACUACGUG
rnacentral:rRNA from 1 species